ACCUGGGUGGCUUAGUUGGUUAAGCGUCUGACUUCGGCUCAGGUCAUGAUGUCACAGUUAGUGGGUUCGAGCCCCACAUCAGGCU
rnacentral:tRNA from 1 species